rnacentral:rRNA from 1 species
CUGGUGGCGACCGGCGCACGGGUGCGUAACACGUAUACAAUCUACCCUUAACAGGGGGAUAGCCCUCCGAAAGGAGGAUUAAUACCCCAUAAUAAAUUGAAUGGCAUCAUUUGAUUUUGAAAGUUCCGACGGUUAAGGAUGAGUAUGCGUCUGAUUAGCUAGUUGGUGAGGUAAAGGCUCACCAAGGCAACGAUCAGUAGGGGAUCUGAGAGGACUACCCCCACACUGGUACUGAGACACGGACCAG